rnacentral:lncRNA from 1 species
UCUCUAGGCUUCGAAAGGAACCUCCGUGAACCUCAGUAGUCUUCAGAAAGAACCAUUUAUACUUCCACUGUUAACAUAACUAAGAGCCCUUUCAGGGGACUAGGUAUUUUCGAUUACACUACUUUGCCACCAGUACAAAUACCUACACUGUUAUUAUGGGGGGCAAAAGUGCAUAUUCUUUGCCUUGUUGUAUUAUUUAAUAUACUAAUAUGAUCUUAAGUAUAAUUUCACUUUCACCUGGACUGUCUCUCAUGUAAAUAAAACCCCCACAACUUUCCUCUUCCUAAUGAGAUGGAACAAACAUCUCUAUCCAAAAGGAUGAUACAAACUCUAAAAUAAAUGGGACAAAUAUAUUUGUCCAUGGGACAAUUAUUUUCACAAACCUAAGUAACUCCUAAUGAGACAUAUUUUAUUUGUAACAACCAUGCCUGUUAGUAUCUGCCUGCUAAAUGGACCGAAGUCUGUUAUCUAGCUAAUCCUAUUAGUUCCUAUAAAACGUCCAAUCAGACUACCUUUUUAUUCUCAUUUUAACCACUUCAUUAGAUCUGAUUUUAGAUUUCUAGGCACUAAAUCUAAAUUUUAGGAGUGGGAGCCCCUAAAAUGUGUUUAUGGCUCAUUGUGAUGGGAGUGGGAGUUUUCUGAGCUGACACGGAUCUUUGCAUCCCUGUAGGGCUUCUAGGGCCCCCUGAGGUUGGUUUGGGAUUGCUUGAGCAGAGUCUGAUUCCCUGGAAAUAGGUUUAUGCUCCUCUGAUGUGGGUCUGGCAAAGAACACGAAUUCACACCGAUUGUGACUUGGUACUGAGGUCUCCUGAGCUGAAUUUGUUUGUACGCUCUCAGAUGAAUCUGGCAUCUCCUGAGAUGAGUCACAGGUCCUGGAAGUACGUCAGGCAUCCCCAGAGUUGGGUCUUUGUCACUUGAACUGAGUCUGAGUGAGUUCGCUGAAGACGCUGAGGUUUGUUUCAAGUCCUAUGUACAUUGUAUAUGAUAUCUGGGUAUCCUGAGGUGUGGCAGAGAUUCCUGAAUUUGGCCUAGAGCCCCCCAGGUGUAUCUGGUUCUCCCUAAGGUGUCUUUGGUUCACUAAAGUGGCUUUGGGGCCCUUUGAGGGGACUGUUUGCACAUCUCU